ensembl:lncRNA novel transcript
UUUGCCCUUCAUACCUCAGAGAGCCUUCAUCCAAGUAAGAUGGGUGGUGAGGAGCUGUGGAUGACAGCAUGAAGGAUGAGGACUGAUGCAGCAGCCAUAAUUAGAUUAUAGGUUUCCAUGGGAUGUGCCAUGACUGCUUACAAAUGGGGCCCAGCCAUGGAAUUGAGUUAUCAACUAAGCUGAUUCCUGAGGCACAGAUCAUCCUGUCCUCCACAACAUGAUUAAAGACUACAUGAUGCUCAGGAAGACCUCUGCAGCUGUGUGCUUGGAAGAGUGUGUUUUUCCUGCUAAAGCAUAAGAAAAAAGAGACCAGCAAUUAUUAUCUUAGGCCUUGCAGCAUCCUUUCUGGUCCCACAAGUUUGAGAAGGCAGUGGCGUGGAUGGAGGCUCCAAAAGAUAAAAGAAUGUAGGGGAGGUGACUCUUCAAAUGGCCCUCACCCACCCCUUACCCUCAGCUCACCCACCAUGAAGCUUCCCCUUCCAAGGAGGACACACCUCCUUUCCUAGAACAUUCUUCAGUGCCACAAGCUGCUCAGUCAGCCCUGAUUCUGGAGUCUCCAGUGAGCGAGGCCUGGGGUGGCCCCAGUGGGAUGAGCCACACUCCCCACAGCACUCAGCCUGGAUGUGGCACUGGCUGCACAUAGCAAGAGGCAGCUAUUGGACACCUGCUCGCCACAUGUUCUGUCUUAUCCUCCCAGCAACACCGAGUGAGGGAGGGAGUGUUAACCCACCAUUCACCAGGUUUACCAGAGACCAAGCCCAGGAUCUCUCCACUGCACACUUUUAAAAGGGUCCUUUCAGCUUCCCAUUAAAGAAGUUUGUUCCUU